rnacentral:rRNA from 1 species
AUGUGUUCAUCGUCUACCCUCUGGCAUCGGUUGCACCUGGCAUCUCUAGCUUGCAGAUCACCGGACAUACUGUCGUUUGUUCAACAAGCUGCUACUCAUCUAAGGUUCAGGCGCAAAUGGAAUGUGGCCUUUGCAGCUUGUGCCAUCAGUCUUUGGCACGCGAGGAAGGAUCGGACCUUUAACUCACGAUCACGGACUGAAUCUUACAUAAGGUUCUAUGCAGCAGAUUUGCUCCGUCUCUGGUGCUGCAGAGCUACUAGGCAACAGGAUAAAGAGGACCUCAUGUUUUGGGGCAAUCUUCUAGCCACACAGUGCCAUAGCUCUUUUCUUGGUGUCCUUUUCUGCUUUUCUGUCUCUGCAUCCCACACUUUAGAAUGUUGA